rnacentral:misc_RNA from 1 species
AGCUCGUUUUGUGUUUUAUCGUUCCUACAUUUAAUCAAGGACUUCGAACUUUAACGGAACGACAUCAAUCUCUCCACCCUUACAACAGAAAGUAUAGCUGCAAGUACAGCGAUCCCGGUGCGUGGUACCUCCACCCUAGUGCAGUGGUGCACUGUUGCAGGUCGACACUCCCCAUCCGUGCCGCCUGCUCUCAGCGAGGCACAGACGCUUUCUCUGUUCGCCAUUUGAGCUCUACCGUGCAGCCCCGAACUUCUCCGUUGUUGCUCUUUACUUAAUUUUGCAUAAGCAGCGAUUCGACUUCAUUCCAUCACCACCGACAUCGUGAGCGUGCUGGACUACAGUGCGAGGCUGCACAGUGGACGCUCCUCCCAUCGACUUUUUUCUGUUGUGCUGUUCUUUCUAUUUUUGCUGGCCCCGCUUUCUCCCUGAGCGCGCGCGCUCUCGACCGCUUCAUUAACCUCCAUAUCAAGACGAGGGAAAUCGUCACCGACCGCAAUAAUGGCCGAUCCCGUGCUGCAGUUGCUAGAGAUUGAGCUGUUGGGGGCAAAUCCAGAUGCAUACACGAACCAGUUCCAGUGGAGAAUGCGUCUGGAGGCGGCGGCGAGUUUGCCUCAAACCCUGUCCGUUUCCUUCGUGUGGGUCGGAAGCGCUUCGUCGUCGCAGCACGAUCAGGUGCUCGAUGACUUCGAGGUCGGACCGCUGGAGAAGGGCAUCACUGAGUUCACUUUAGAAUGUGAUGCCCCGCAGAUGGAGCUGGUACCAGUGGAGGAUGUGGUGGGCGUGACGAUUUUGCUCAUCUCGUUUCAGUACCGGGGCCAGGAGUUCCUGCGCGUGGGCUACUACACUCAAGUGGCAUACUUUGACGCGCAGCUUAACCGGAAUCCCCCACCGCUGCCGGAGCGAGCAUUGCUGGGUAGAUUUGUUGCCAUGCCGCAGCCAGCUGUCACAGUCACUCCCAUUGACUGGGGUCAAUAGGGCCACAUCUGGCGAGGUAGGAUGUGGUAUCGAGGGUGAGGGGGGAGGGUGGGAGCGCUGGAGAGCGCCUUGCCGACCGCCCAGAGAUAAAAAGAAAGCGAGGUCUCUUGUCCAUUCGAGAGAGAAGGACAACAUUCAUCGUCGUCGCUGCUACACAUUGCUCUUGUCGGCGUGUGUGAAGUAGUGGACGCGCACUCGCCGAUGUGUCCGCACCGACUCCUUCUCUGCCCUCGUCCAUCCAGCAGUACAGCAAAGGAGACAGAGCCGUGCACGGGAUCCACCCUCCCCUUUCUUUCUCUUAAAGGGGCGUAUGAUCGGUGGCUCACCGGCUGCACUGCCGCUCGGCGUCUGCGGCUGGCGCUUUGAAAGACCUUUUUCACAGUCUGUGUCUUUUCUUUUUUACUACCUUAUCCUGCUCCUCACUUCUCCGUGGCAGAGUGAGGACGGCAAACACACACACACACACACACCAUAGACGCGUACUUGAGGGGCGUGUGGGGCCUCUGUGUAGUCGAUGCGUGAGGUCGGAGGCAUCGAGCGCUCGUUUUGGUACACCGUAUAGAUAAGCUCGUUUAGUUUCUCGCUUCGGUCUCUUUCGCUUGUCGCCGUUGGACGUCACGGUGAUCACAUUGUCCGACUCUGCUGAUCACCUUGUAAGCUGUCCGUGCCUUCGUUUUUGUUCAUGUGUGAUUUUGUGUUUGGUACUGUGAGUGCACGUGCACGAACGUGGUGACGCGUGCGUGGCGAGAUGCAACACUG